GUUUUAUGGAGGAACAGCAGGCCAGACCAGAGAGGGCCCCGAGUGGGCCCUGGGAGCCCCAGAUCCUUCAGGACAAGGCCCCUAUUGGCCUAGCAGAGGUGUUUCAGACUGGUCUGUCUAAGUCCAUGAAGAUCAAAGUGGAGCUGGACGGUGACAGUUACAUCCUGGAGCUGCUGCAGAACAGGGACUUAGUCCCAGGUCGCCCAACCCUGGCAUGGUAUCAGCCCGAUGGCACUCGGGUAGUCAGUGAGGGACACACUCUGGAGAACUGCUGCUAUCAGGGCAGAGUACAAGGCCAUACCAGCUCCUGGGUCUCCAUGUGCGCCUGCUCCGGCCUCAGGGGCUUGGUGCUCCUGUCCCCAGAGAGAAGUUAUGUCUUGGAGCUGGGGCCUGGGGACAUUCAGGGUCCUCCCAUUAUCUCCCGGAUCCAAGACCUUCGCUUGCCAGGCCACGUCUGUGCCCUGAGCCGGAAUGCCCCUGUGCCCACUCAGGCUCCACCAGGGCAGCCCCUGGGACAACGCCAUAUUCGCCGGCACAAGCGGGACGUGGUAACAGAGACCAAGAUUGUCGAGCUGGUGAUUGUGGCCGACCAUUCAGAGGUCAGGAGGUAUCCCGACUUCCAGCGCCUGCUGAACCGCACACUGGACGUGGCCCUCCUGCUGGACAUGUUCUUCCGGCCCCUGAACGUCCGGGUGGUACUGGUGGGCCUGGAGGCCUGGAGCCAGCGCGACCUGAUAGAGAUGAGCCCAAACCCAGCUGUCACUCUGGAAAACUUCCUCCACUGGCGCCGGACAGACUUGCUGCCUCGACUGCCCCAUGACAGUGCCCAGCUAGUGACUGAUAUUUCUUUCUCUGGGCCCAUGGUGGGCAUGGCCAUUCAGAACUCCAUCUGUUCUCCCGACUUCUCAGGAGGUGUGAACAUGGACCACUCCAUAAGCAUCCUGGGAGUCGCCUCCUCCAUAGCCCAUGAGUUGGGCCACAGCCUGGGCCUGGGCCACGAUUCACCUGGGAGCAGCUGCCCCUGUCCAGGUCCAGCCCCAGCAAAGAGCUGCAUCAUGGAGGCCUCCACCGACUUCCUGCCAGGCCUGAACUUCAGCAACUGCAGCCGGCAGGCCCUGGAGAAAGCCCUCCUGCAGGGGAUGGGCAGCUGCCUCUUUGAACGGCUGCCCAGCCUGCCCCCUAUGGCCCCCUUCUGCGGAAAUAUGUUUGUGGACCCUGGCGAGCAGUGUGACUGUGGCUUCCCGGAUGACUGCACAGAUCCCUGUUGUGAUUACUUCACCUGCCAGCUGAGGCCAGGGGCACAGUGUGCCUCUGACGGACUCUGUUGUCAGAACUGCCAGCUGCGCCCCGCCGGCUCGCAGUGCCGUCCUAGCAGAGGAGACUGUGACUUGCCCGAGUUCUGCCCAGGAGACAGCUCCCAGUGCCCCCCGGACAUCAGCCUGGGGGACGGCGAGCCCUGUGCUGGUGGCCAGGCUGUGUGUGUCCACGGGCGCUGUGCCUCCUAUGCCCAGCAGUGCCAGUCACUCUGGGGACCUGGGGCCCAGCCCGCUGCGCCACUUUGCCUCCAAACAGCCAAUACUCGGGGCAACGUUUAUGGGAGCUGUGGCCGAAGCGCCAAUGGCAGCUACAUACCCUGCACCCCUCAAGACGCCGUUUGUGGGCAGCUUCAGUGCCAGGGGGGCAGGACGCAGCCUCUCCUGGGCUUAGCCCAAGAGCUGCACUGGGAGACGCUGGAGGCCAACGGGACUCAACUGAACUGCAGCUGGGUACACCUGGACCUGGGCAACGACGUGGCCCAACCCCUCCUGACUCUGCCGGGCACCGCCUGUGGCCCUGGCCUGGUGUGUCUAGACCACCGAUGCCAGCCUGUGGAUCUCCUAGGAGCACAAGAGUGUCGAAGCAGAUGCCAUGGACAUGGGGUCUGUGACAGCAACAGGCACUGCCACUGCGAGGAGGGCUGGGCACCCCCGGACUGCACCACACAGCUCCGAGCAACCAGCUCCCUGACCACGGGGCUGCUCCUCAGCCUCCUGCUGUUGCUGGUCCUAGUGCUACUUGGUGCCAGUUACUGGCACCGUGCCCGCCUGCGCCAGCGACUUUGCCAGCUCAAGGGAUCCAGCUGCCAAUACAGGGCAGCCCAAUCCAGUCCCCCUGAACGGCCAGGACCCCCCCAGAGGGCCCAGGUGUUGCCAGGCACUAAGCAGGUUAGUGCUCUCGGCUUUCCGGCCCCCCCCUCCAGGCCGCUGCCGCCUGACCCUGUGCCCAAGACACUCCAGGUGACCAAGGUGUCACUCGGACUUCCCAGGCUGAGCCCCAGAAGCCGCAAAGGGCUGAGCUGGCUGACCGACCCAAUCCCCCCACGCGCCCUCUGCCCGCUGACCCAGUGGUGAGGCGCCCGAAGGUAACAGUGGGGGGAGAGAAGGGCACAGCCUCUUCCCCCACCUAGGGCUGUGGUGCUGGUGGCCGUGGCGAGAUGCCCCCCUCUGUGCCUGAGGGCACAUGUCCCCGUGGCUCCUUUAAUGGUGACAGGUUUGUUUGGAGACAAGGGUGAUUUCUGGUGCUGCCCCCAAGCUGGUGCUCCCCAGCACCAGUGCGAUGGGGGUGGGCAACACGACGCGCACCAAGCCAGCUCAUGCCUUCCCUCUCUCAGUCUCAGAGGCCUACCAAGCCCCCACCCCCCAGGAAGCCACUGCCUGCGGACCCCCAGGGCAGGCGCCCUUCGGGUGACUUGCCUGGCCCAGGGCCUGGAAUCAUGCCUUCAGUGGUCCCCUCCAGGCCAGCACCACCGCCUCCAGCAGCA